UGGGGAAUAUUGGACAAUGGGCGCAAGCCUGAUCCAGCCAUGCCGCGUGAGUGAUGAAGGCCCUAGGGUUGUAAAGCUCUUUCACCGGUGAAGAUAAUGACGGUAACCGGAGAAGAAGCCCCGGCUCACUUCGUGCCAGCAGCCGCGGUAAUACGAAGGGGGCUAGCGUUGUUCGGAUUUACUGGGCGUAAAGCGCACGUAGGCGGACUUUUAAGUCAGGGGUGAAAUCCCGGGGCUCAACCCCGGAACUGCCUUUGAUACUGGAAGUCUUGAGUAUGGUAGAGGUGAGUGGAAUUCCGAGUGUAGAGGUGAAAUUCGUAGAUAUUCGGAGGAACACCAGUGGCGAAGGCGGCUCACUGGACCAUUACUGACGCUGAGGUGCGAAAGCGUGGGGAGCAAACAGG
rnacentral:rRNA from 1 species